UAAGCGGUGGAAACGCCGUCUAAUACCGGAUAUGACACACCAUCUCCUGGUGGUGUGUGGAAAGUUUUGUCGGUCAGGGAUGGGCUCGCGGCCUAUCAGCUAGUUGGUGGGGUAAAGGCCUACCAAGGCGAUUACGGGUAGCCGGCCUGAGAGGGCGACCGGCCACACUGGGACUGAGACACGGCCCAGACUCCUGCGGGAGGCAGCAGUGGGGAAUAUUGCACAAUGGGCGAAAGCCUGAUGCAGCGACGCCGCGUGGGGGAUGACGGCCUUCGGGUUGUAAACCUCUUUUACCACCAACGCAGGCCCCGGGUUCUCUCGGGGUUGACGGUAGGUGGGGAAUAAGGACCGGCUAACUACGUGCCAGCAGCCGCGGUAAUACGUAGGGUCCGAGCGUUGUCCGGAAUUAUUGGGCGUAAAGAGCUCGUAGGCGGCGUGUCGCGUCUGCUGUGAAAGACCGGGGCUUAACCCCGGUUCUGCAGUGGAUACGGGCAUGCUAGAGGUAGGUAGGGGAGACUGGAAUUCCUGGUGUAGCGGUGAAAUGCGCAGAUAUCAGGAGGAACACCGGUGGCGAAGGCGGGUCUCUGGGCCUUACCUGACGCUGAGGAGCGAAAGCAUGGGGAGCGAACAGGAUUAGAUACCCUGGUAGUCCAUGCCGUAAACGUUGGGCGCUAGGUGUGGGGACUUUCCACGGUUUCCGCGCCGUAGCUAACGCAUUAAGCGCCCCGCCUGGGGAGUACGGCCGCAAGGCUAAAACUCAAAGGAAUUGACGGGGGCCCGCACAAGCGGCGGAGCAUGUUGCUUAAUUCGACGCAACGCGAAGAACCUUACCAAGGUUUGACAUCACCCGUGGACCUGUAGAGAUACAGGGUCAUUUAGUUGGUGGGUGACAGGUGGUGCAUGGCUGUCGUCAGCUCGUGUCGUGAGAUGUUGGGUUAAGUCCCGCAACGAGCGCAACCCUUGUUCCAUGUUGCCAGCACGUAAUGGUGGGGACUCAUGGGAGACUGCCGGGGUCAACUCGGAGGAAGGUGGGGACGACGUCAAGUCAUCAUGCCCCUUAUGUCUUGGGCUGCAAACAUGCUACAAUGGCCGGUACAAUGGGCGUGCGAUACCGUAAGGUGGAGCGAAUCCCUUAAAGCCGGUCUCAGUUCGGAUUGGGGUCUGCAACUCGACCCCAUGAAGGUGGAGUCGCUAGUAAUCGCGGAUCAGCAACGCCGCGGUGAAUACGUUCCCGGGCCUUGUACACACCGCCCGUCACGU
rnacentral:rRNA from 1 species